GGGGAUAGAGCUUAGUUGGUAGAGUGCUUGCCUCACGUGCACAAGGCCCUGGGUUUGAUCCCCAGCAUUCUCC
rnacentral:tRNA from 1 species